GGUUUUGAGGCGGCUUUGGGCUGGGUUUUACUAGGACCUGGCAACCCGAUACUGAUGACUUCCUGCUUGAAAAAGUGAAACAAACUGCACCGUGUGUAAGUUACAUUCAAAAAGUGUUAACAGUGUUCUGAGUGACACUGUGAUGAUAUAUAGGACCAAACAAAAAGCGCUUCAACUUGUACUACUCUCCAGAAAACAAUGUAUAACGUUACCUUUUUACUGAAACAAACUUCUUGACGGUUACGGUAGGUCUUGGCCCGUUUUGUUCCCGCUUGAUGUUGUUUUGAUUUCCCUGACAACUGAACGACGCCAUCGGUGGAGAUAGAGAUGAGCCUGCCACAGAUAUUCACUGCAGUGAGACUACACCCGCCAAAUUCAGUUUCAAGCAAGAGCAAGACUGUGAAACACAAAUAUGAAGAUGCGAAAGGUGUUGCCAGCGGGUCGUUUCCAGAGGCUGAAGAUAUGUAUAGGAGAUGUAUAAUUGUGCCAACAACAUGUGAUGGAAGUAGAGAUCUAAGACAAGAGGAGAGACCAGCUCAAAGUAACUCUUUAGUAGUUGAACCAGUUAAGGUUGAUGGCAUUGUUAUGGAUUACAUUGAAAAAAUGAAAUCCAAGGAACUUGACAUAAUUAAAAAAAGGAAUGCAGUUAUCAUGAAGCGAGAUGAUAGAUAUGUGACCUUUAUGUCGCCGUCUGGUAAGAGCGUUCACGAUCAGUUUGCAAGAGAACAGUUUAUAACAUUGUAUCAAAAGAUUGCAACGGGGCUGCAAACUAGGACAUACGAUUGCAGUCAAGGAAUUAUUGCACAUUGCCAAGCAGCAUUUCCACAACUUCUAAUCACUCAUAAAGAUGAAAAGCGAUUGCAACUGACUGGCAACUUCAUUAGCCUUGAAAGAUUUGAGACAUUUUUGAAUGGGAGUGCACAGACAUAUUCACACUACCAAACACCAAAUAAAACAAAAGUCAAAGACACACCUUACAAGCAACCUGUGAAACAACAGAAAUCCAUAGACCAAGCCAAAGAUGAGGCAUGUCCAAUUUGUUUGGAAACACUCAAGAUAUCUGAAUGCACAGUCUUGUCUAAAUGUAAACAUAGAUUUUGUAAAGACUGUUUGGAGAGAGCUUUCCACGUGAAGCCAACUUGUCCGAUAUGCGGAGAGAUAUACGGCAAUCUUACAGGGACGCAACCAAAAGGAGGAACCAUGACUGUCUCAUCAGACAGGUCCUCUCUACCUGGAUAUGAAAGAUAUGGUACAAUCAUAAUUAACUACCAUAUACCAAGAGGAUGUCAGGGGGAUGAACACCCAAACCCAGGCAUGCCGUACCAGGGUGCGACCCGCAUAGCUUACCUCCCUUACUCAACAGAGGGGAAUAAGGUACUGAAGCUUCUGCAGAGGGCAUUCGACCAGCGACUCACUUUCACCAUUGGACGCUCAUCUACUACUGGACAGAACAAUGUGGUAACCUGGAAUGACAUUCACCAUAAGACGUCUCGUUAUGGAGGGUCAACCUGCUAUGGUUACCCAGAUCCAGACUACCUGAAACGAGUACAAGAUGAACUGAAAGCAAAAGGAAUCGACUAACUACCUUGUAAUCAGUUCAGACACUAUUAUUACAACCAGUAGUCAUAUUAAAACAAGGACAAGAAUAAAGUAAUAUUGCAGUCUUGUGAUCACUGAUCAAGCAUCACGUGACAGCAUUUUCAAAAUGCCCCAAAGAAAAUCUACUAUUGUGAUGUUAUGUAUGCAGUAUACCUUGUUUGUUUUACUUUAAAAAUAAUAAUUGCUAUAUUAUAUUGUGAUUAGAUUUUUUAAAUGGAUGAACAUGCAGUAAAAUUAAGUGUCAUGUAGUGUAUAGAAAAUUAUAGAGCCUCAGCAGCAAAAAACUCAUGACUACUGUUCAU